ensembl:misc_RNA 7SK 7SK RNA
GGAUGUGAGGGCCAUCUGGCUAUGACAUCUGUCACCCCAUUGAUUGCAGGAUUGAUGUGGCUGAUCUGGCUGGCUUACGUGUUCCUUUCCUCCCUCAAUGAUCCAUGUGCAUCCUUUCCAAAGCAGCGCGCUCCGUGGAAGAGGAAGACCAAGCCCCAUAGAGGAGGUCUGUUCCUUGGUCAAGGAUAUAUUAGUACCUGCGCUACCCUGCUAGAACCUCCAAAUGAGCUCUAAAGUUUCGAUUGCUUAUCCAUAUAAAGCCUUCUCUCCAUUUCUUAUCCAGUGAAGACAGAUCUCCGGUCAAUGACGCAUGCGUGCUUUACAAUAUAAGGAAGGAGAAGAGGCCUGUUCUCUACCCUUUAUUU